UAAGGAAUAUUGGUCAAUGGAGGCAACUCUGAACCAGCCAUGCCGCGUGCAGGAAGACAGCCCUCUGGGUCGUAAACUGCUUUUAUUCGGGAAUAAACCCAUCUACGUGUAGAUGGCUGAAUGUACCGAAGGAAUAAGGAUCGGCUAACUCCGUGCCAGCAGCCGCGGUAAUACGGAGGAUCCAAGCGUUAUCCGGAUUUAUUGGGUUUAAAGGGUGCGUAGGCGGCUUAUUAAGUCAGGGGUGAAAGACGGUGGCUCAACCAUCGCAGUGCCUUUGAUACUGAUGAGCUUGAAUAUACUAGGGGUAGGCGGAAUGUGAAAAGUAGCGGUGAAAUGCAUAGAUAUGUCACAGAACACCGAUUGCGAAGGCAGCUUACUAUGGUAUUAUUGACGAUGAGGCACGAAAGCGUGGGGAUCAAACAGG
rnacentral:rRNA from 1 species